CACGACAAGCCACUCGCGUCCAAAAAGUGGGCCCCAAAUCGGCGUACCCCUCCGUUUCCUUUGGAACUGGAAACGUCAAACUGAGGUUUCCUCAAAAAUACAUCAAAUUUGGCAGCACUGCAACUUUUGACAUCGAGAACUGUCACCUAAAAAAAAUCAGUUUUGUUUUCGUUUUUCGCCUGCGGGUUCGGGCUAUUUUUUUCCAACUUCCCGAUUCCGGAACGUAACAAAAACGGUGGCAAAUGUCCUGUGGCCCGUGUCCUGUGUCCAUUUCCGUUUUAUUUGGGUGUACGGUGGACGGUUAGAACUCGUCGAUCAUUUGUCUUCUGCAGCAGAAGGCAUCAGAUUCAAAUAAUCGAUGAAAGGGCGCGGAAACGCUGUUCCGGUAGAAUUCAGUGUUCGACUCACUCCGAAAGGAGCAUCCGUAAGCGGUGAAAGUAGUGAGCCGGCCGGAACCAGAGCAGAAUGAUGGAAAAGCCGAGCAACACGAGCCGGGCGUUGAUCCAUGGGAGGCGCAGAUGUUCUGCAAGAUUUUUACCGGAAGUAAUGAAGGAGUAGGCAACUGAAAGUCACAUGAACGGAGGUGGACUUUUGACGGCUGUCGCUGAUCAACGCCAAGAGAUUGUUACGGAUGUUCCUAGUGCCGGAAUAACAUGGAGGAACGGGAAUCGAAAGCUUGGGAGGAAUAUGGUUUGUAGGAAUAGGGCAAUAACUUCGACGGGUGAGCGGAGCAUCCGAAGAAGUUCAUCGUAGAAACGGGCAGUUUGAUGGGAGCUAGACAAUGGCGAUUUGUUUGUUCCACUGUCGACGACGUCGAAGAUUCUUAAAAUCACUCGACCGUUCAAAAGCUUUGAAGUUCGCCAGUAAUUUGAGAGAAGAUUUUUCUCGGUUGGCGGGGUAAGAUAGAACGACCAAUCUGAAUGAGGCCCAGAAUGAAGAGUUGACGUGUUGAGUAGUUUAGCGCGAGAGCCUCUGCAACAAAUUGAAAAAAAAAACUAGCAGUUGUUGUUUAUUUAGUGAAACUUUAACUUAGAAACAAGCAGAAGAGUAGAAUUAGGCAAGAGAAUAACUAGCACAGUGAGAACAUAGACUAAUGUGAGAUGGACGAAGGUCAGAUUAAACGGAAAGUUGGUGAAGCGCCACGUGGAUAUUAAACAAGGUCAUUAAAUGAUUAAGAAAUUGUUGAGAACUUCAUUUAGGAUUCAAUACAUCUAUAGUUUUUUUUUCUUU